rnacentral:rRNA from 1 species
AAAUGAAUAGACGGGGGCCCGCACAAGCAGCGGAGCAUGUGGUUUAAUUCGAAGCAACGCGAAGAACCUUACCAGGUCUUGACAUCCGAUUAAAGCUCAUGAAAGUGAGUGUCCCUUCGGGGGAAUCGAGACAGGUGGUGCAUGGUUGUCGUCAGCUCGUGUCGUGAGAUGUUGGGUUAAGUCCCGCAACGAGCGCAACCCUUGUUAAUAGUUACUAACGCGUAAAGGUGAGGACUCUAUUGAGACUGCCGUGGACAACACGGAGGAAGGUGGGGACGACGUCAAAUCAUCAUGCCCCUUAUGAUCUGGGCUACACACGUGCUACAAUGGGCGCUACAGAGAGGGGCGAAGCCGCGAGGUGGAGCGGAUCUCAAAAAAGCGUUCGAAGUUCGGAUUGUGGGCUGCAACCCGCCCACAUGAAGCCGGAGUUGCUAGUAAUCGCGGAUCAGCAUGCCGCGGUGAAUACGUUCCCGGGCCUUGUACACACCGCCCGU